CCGUGGCGCGUCGUAAGCGGCAGAAUUGCGCGAGCCACUGUGUUAGUCGGACGGUGUUUACAUCGCGUCCGUGCUCUACGCAACUCGUAUCCGUAAUUCGGCAGCCGCGUCGCGUCGCGUCGCGCCGCGUUUCGCGUCGGUCGCGCGUGUCUCGGCACCGCGCGUCCUGGUGCAUCGUCGAUUUGUCGCCGUCGUCCGCCGUUCCGUACGUUCCGUACGUUCCGUACCCGCGAAACCGUUUUCGACUCGACGCGCACUUCGCGUCGUCGGCUUAUCUCGGCUGCGCCUCGAUCUGAAUGUGUUUGCGCCAGUCUCUCCUGUUGCUCCGCUGUUGCACGGCGGUUGACAUUGCUUUCGGUGACCGAUAGCCAGCCACGGCGAGGUGAGAAGAAAGGACCGAAGGAGUGAUUGGUGAUUUUUAGUGUUGUAUAUUGUAUAUUGUAUACAUAUCGGCAAAGUUGUGUUACGCACACGGAACAGACUCAGCUGGAAGGACGUGAAGGUGGCAGCGGGAGCUUUCGCGUCGCGGCCCAGGCGCGCAGCUGGAUUCCUGUCCUACUCGACCCCUGCGGACGUAGGCGAUUCGUGCUAGCCUCGUCCAGUUUGACUUUCGUCCCCUCGUUAGGUGAGUGAUGUCAAUGUUGCUUGCGAAAUCAGAUUGUAAAACACAUAUUUUGCAGUUCGUAGAGCAGAGAUGCAUUUACCGUGACGUAAUUGCGCGAGGGCCUCGAAAUUUCCCUUGGCAUAGUUUGGGAAAAACUAAUCUUUUAUCGGAGAGAUUUCGGGACUUGUCGGGAACUCGCACUAUGUUAUUCUAGGCGCGCGGGUUUCAUUAAAUGAAUAAAAUUUUCGUGUGAGAAUCUUUGAAAUGGGUUUUGUUGGCACAAAGAAAAUGCAUUCGGUGCAGAGGCAAUGAGAGCUUGACGCGCGUUACGCAGAAAAUGGUGACAGCGACGAGAAAGGAGUCGUUAAAAGGGAAUGUACAAUCGCUGCUUCUUUUCACGGCGGGAAAGCUUGGUCCUCUAACGCAAAUGCGAACGUACGUUGAUAAAAAAAAAAAAGAA